rnacentral:rRNA from 1 species
CCUACGGGGGGCUGCAGUGAGGAAUAUUGGUCAAUGGACGAGAGUCUGAACCAGCCAAGUAGCGUGAAGGAUGACUGCCCUAUGGGUUGUAAACUUCUUUUAUAUGGGAAUAAAAUGUUCCACGUGUGGCAUUUUGUAUGUACCAUAUGAAUAAGGAUCGGCUAACUCCGUGCCAGCAGCCGCGGUAAUACGGAGGAUCCGAGCGUUAUCCGGAUUUAUUGGGUUUAAAGGGAGCGUAGGUGGAUUGUUAAGUCAGUUGUGAAAGUUUGCGGCUCAACCGUAAAAUUGCAGUUGAAACUGGCAGGCUUGAGUAUAGUAGAGGUAGGCGGAAUGCGUGGUGUAGCGGUGAAAUGCUUAGAUAUCACGCAGAACCCCGAUUGCGAAGACAGCUCACCGGACUGCAACUGACACUGAGGCACGAAAGUGUGGGGAUCAAACAGGAUUAGAUACCCCAGUAGUC